AGAGAGAGUGGCGUGUAGAGAGAGAGGGAGAGGAAGAAAGAAAGAAAGAAAGAAGAAGAAGGUGAAGAGGAACCCAUCUUAGAGCUUGAACAAGGGUGUGAAGUUUGGGUGUUGAUCUUAUUGUGUUCUUGAUUUUACAAUCAAGAGAGGCUCGUUGAAAGAUUGUGAAAUUCUUAGCUUGGACCUGAGGUA